rnacentral:rRNA from 1 species
GAGACUCAGUGAAAUUGAACUCGCUGUGAAGAUGCAGUGUACCCGCGGCAAGACGGAAAGACCCCGUGAACCUUUACUAUAGCUUGACACUGAACAUUGAGCCUUGAUGUGUAGGAUAGGUGGGAGGCUUUGAAGUGUAGACGCCAGUCUGCAUGGAGCCGACCUUGAAAUACCACCCUUUAAUGUUUGAUGUUCUAACGUGGACCCGUAAUCCGGGUUGCGGACAGUGUCUGGUGGGUAGUUUGACUGGGGCGGUCUCCUCCUAAAGAGUAACGGA